rnacentral:lncRNA from 10 species
UUGGUGGAGUUUCCCUCUGUCGCCCAUUUAAAGUGCAGUGGUGUGAUCUUGGCUCACUGCAACCUCUGCCUCCUGGGUUCAAGUGUUUCUCCUGCCUCAGCCUCCUGAGCAACCGGGAUUACAGGCGUGCGCCACCACACCCAGCUAAUUUUUGUAUUUCUAGUAGAGACAGAGUUUUGUUUCUUUUCUUUUUCUUUCUUUUUUUUUUUUUUGAGAUGGAGUCUUGCUGUGUUGCCCAGGCUGGUGCAAUGGCGUGAUCUCGGCUCACUGCAACCUCCACCUCCUGGGUUCCAGUGAUUCUCCUCCCUCAGCCUCCCAAGUAGCUAGGAUUACAGGUGCCCACUACCACGUUGGACUAAUUUUUUUGUAUUUUUAGUAGAGACGGGGUUCCGUCAUGUUGGCCAGGCUGGUCUUGAACCCCUGACCUCAGGUGAUCCACCCACCUCAGCCUCCUAAAGUGCUGGGAUUACAGGCAUGAGCCACCGUGCCCAGCCCAGAGACGGGGUUUCACCAUGUUGGCCAGGCUGGUCUUGAAUUCCUGACCUCAGGUGAUCUGCCUGCCUCAGACUCCCAAAGUGCAGGAAUUAUGGGCAUGUGCCACCACGCCCGGCCCGCCGUGUGAUUUUGAGCAUGACUCAACCUCUCUGGGUUUUGCUUGCCCCCGCUAACAUAUGAAGAAAAAACACUGGCUGCCUCUUCCGGGGCUCAGGGGUUCUAGUUGUCCACAUCCAUGAAGCUCCGGGCAUACGGCAGGGCCUCAGGAAAUAUUAAUGAGAAGCAGGGAUUCCCAGCAAAGGAGAACCAUGA